rnacentral:sRNA from 1 species
UAGUUAGUAUUUGACCGUCAAUCCACAAGUAAACAUAAAUCUUAACGUAUGAGACUAUGAGUAAGCAUCAACACAAUAUCAGAUUUGAAACAAAAUGGUUUUGAAUGGUAAUCUCGCAUCGAGGAUAGACCCUGAAAUUUUGGUGGUCUAAAAAUUUUCUAAAAGUUUUACAAAUUUGGGAGCCUAUGUAUAAAAGUAAAACUAAAUUAGAGGCCUUUUUGUAAAUACAUGUUUUAUGGAAAUUCACAAACCAUUGUUUCUCCUAUUUGUUUAAAGACGACACUGUCAUUGUGAUAUAUCGUUUUGACAAUUACCGAUUUUAAAAACGUUAUU